rnacentral:rRNA from 1 species
CAUUGCACACACGAGUUGCAGC